GAUUUCUGGUCGGAUGCGCCUAGCCCGCCACGGUUUCGUGUGUGAGUGCUGGUGUGUGUCUACCAUCCUUCUAGUACAUCCUCUCCUCUUCAUUGAGGUGGAGGUCGUGUUCUAGAUCUUUUACUUUGAAAAAAUUAGAGUGUUUCAAGCAGGCAUGCCGCUAUGAAUACAUUAGCAUGGAAUAAUAAUUUAGGACUUCGGUUCUAUUUUGUUGGUUUCUAGGACGGAAGUAAUGAUUGAUAGGGAUAGUUGGGGGUGCUAGUAUUCAGUGGCCAGAGGUGAAAUUCUCGGAUUCCCUGAAGACUAACUUAUGCGAAAGCAUU
rnacentral:rRNA from 1 species